AAACCUUAUUAUUGAUACAUUGAAACUUUAACUCUUGUGCAUUCCAGGUCAUAAGAUAAAUUAAAAUUCUUUACACCAAUUUUAAUAAAUAUGUUGUAAUGUGUUUAAAAAUAAGUACAAAGACAUGCAAAGUUUUGAAGAGACCAAAAAUAUUCCCAAAAUAUAACAAUUUUUCUUUGCAUAUAUAAUCAUCAUUUGUUAGCUAAGAGAUUGUUUUCUUUGACUUUUCAACAAAUUUAAGACCAUUCAAAUGUUUUUGUUUUUCAUAUUUGUGUUCUGAAGUUAGGCAUUGAUAUUAUUUUGGACUUAGAAAUAUUUCUUGUUCUA
rnacentral:lncRNA from 1 species